rnacentral:lncRNA from 1 species
CAUAAUUUUAAAAAACUGUGCUUAUGCUAAAAACAGAUCCUUAGCAUUCUUCCAGUAUUCUUAGUUGUGUCAUUUGCUUUAAAAUAAGCCUAAGAAUUGCACCAGAAUUAGCUGCACAACUCCGCCAGGAAAUGCAAAGUUUUAUUGUUAUAGGAUUCUAGAAACAAUCAUAUUAUAUAUCUGGAAACUCUAUACACACAUGCCCACACACACAAAAACACACACAAUUUUCACUGAAUAGACAUCAUAAUAAGCACACUGAAAACCUAAUAAAGUUAUUAUAAAGCUGUAGAACACAAUGAUUAAAAGCAAAUGAUAAUCUUAAAUUUUAAAGAACUGAAAAUAUUAGAAUUUAAGAAUUAAAAUGUUCUAAUUGUUCUUUGGUCCACUAUCAUAGAUUUCAAGCAGAUUAAUUAAUGUAGUAGAAUGACAUUAAUAGUUCCUAUCAAUGGGAUUUAAUUUAUACCAUUUUGAAAAUAGUUUGUUGUCAUAUAUUGUUUACUGUGUGACUUCUUGUAUUUGCUCUAAAGUAAGGCUAAAUCACAUCUUAGCCUCAUCUCAUCCAAGGAAGUGAUUACAGUAAAGGUAUCCAUGUUGGGUUAAUGUGUAAAAUAGUGGUUGUGGAUUAAUGUGGGUUUGAUGUAGGAAUUUAUUAUUCUCCUUAUUAAGAUUAGCUUGAAAUGUACUGUGUGACGAAUAUUUAGUCUAUUCAAUAAGUGGUAUUCAACAGAUAUAUAUCAACAAGUGCUAUGUACCAACCACUGUUCAAGGUGGCAGAUAAAAAUAUAGGCAAAGAUAAUAUUAAUCCAAAUUGCACAUGAAAACAUUUGAUACUAUUGAUAAUGUGGCAGAUGAAAUGAUUUUCACUUUAUUAUAAUUUUUAAGAGAAUGAGAUAAUUAAAUGUGUACUGUAAGUGUUACAAGAAGCCUAUCCAUGUUAUUCUUUACUGAAAUAAUUAGAUUACAAAAAUCACCUUUUUCAAAAGAAAUUUAUAUUAUAAAUGCUCCCAUGGCAAAAACAAAAAGCCUGGUCUUUGACUUGGAAUAUAUUCUUAUUAUAUAAAGUAAGAUACAUGGCAGAGAGAAGAAAAAACAAUUUUAUUCAUCUGUCCUGGUAAUGACAAAAAAGACAGAAGUCAUAUUUUUUUUGCAAUUUUAGAUUGGACUCCUAAGAAUAGCAGACAGUUGGCAGUGUAAAUAUGUUGUAAAUUAGCUAGCCCUGAAACAAAAUGACUGAUCAUUAGCAAAUCGGGCAACUUUUAUUAUUGCCAUUGUAAGUUGCUUUACCUAUCAUGAGUGUGCUCUUAUACUAUUAGAAUUGAAAUCUAUUCUGUACUGCCAAUUUAUAUCCCUGUUUUAUAAUCUUGGGAUUCUUGCUUUACAUUCUAAAAUGUUGUCUCUGAACAAUUAGUGAAUAUCAAGUAAGUUUUUUAUUUUUUUUAAAGGUAGUCUUAAAAGUCUAAUGAUCUUUAGUGAAAAUAAUGAGGAGAUUUGGAUAUGGUGGUUCAUUUCUGUAAUCCCAAGUAGUUGGAAGGAUGAGGCAGGAGUAUAUUACUUGAACCCUGGAGUGUGAGGACUGAUUGAGCUAUGUGCUAUCAUCAUGCCACUGCAGUCCAGCCUGGGCCACAGAGCAUAAUCUGAAUAAAAAAUAGAACUAUAAAAAGUAAUAUAGCAUUGCUGUUUUUAAUUCACUUGUAGUAAUGCAUAGAUAGCAUAUUUAGCCAAAACGUUUUAAACUGGUAAUAUGCCAAGAGGUCAGAUGUUUGAGUCAGAUUGCUAGCUAGCUCCUCAACUGGCUAAAUCUGUAGUAUUUUGCAAAGUAUUUCUCCUAAAUGUAAUUAGUUUUUUUAUUUGUUAAAUGGAUUUACUAAUGCUACCUGCUUAGGAAACUAACUCUGAUAUUAAUUAGUUUACCUCAAAAACUUGUUCUGAAUGACAUAUAUUAGGCAAUAAAAUAUUAGCUACUACUUGAUAUUACAAAUUCUUUUCAUCUGUUUACUUUUAAAGCUCAUAGUGAGCACAAUAAAAUUCCAGAAGACCGAUGAUGGCUGUUAGAUAUAACAGAACGCUCUGAGAGUCACUAUCAGAAAUGAGCAUAUCAGUGCAUAAAAUGUAUGGUAGCUUUAUUUAGCAGCUGUUUCAUUGUUUACCAUAGCAUUUUUUCUUACAAUUUUGUAGAAGCCUGUGUCAGAAUCAAGAAGUUUUUUUUAGAAGAUGAUAAUCAUGGAUGAUUGAAAUCAUACUGAAAAUUAUUCUAAAUUCUAUUAUAUUUAUAGUUGUAUUUUCUUUCAAAGGAUAAUGGAAGUCUUAAAAAGAAAAUGGAUACUUCUCUGCCAGGGGAGAUACUGUGAUCAUGAAGGUGGCUUUCCCAGGGCAAGGCUGAUCUAUUGCAUUCUGGAUGUGCUGACUCCUACGAUUUCCCCAAGUGUGGGAAACUCAACUGCAUAAUUUGUGGAAAAUUUGAAGCCAGAUGACAAAGAUGCCUUAGAUGAGCAUAAGUCCUCUCCAACAGAAUAUGCUCCAUUAUAUCCUCAUCCAACAGGCUUUAUGUAUCAAUAGCCUGCCAACAGGACAUUGUUCAUCCACCUUGAAACGGCCAUUCAUCAACCAAGCAGGUUGUUGUUGUCAAUAGGGAGCUCUUCAAAGGGCAUUGCCCAUGUGACAGUGGGAUCCAGUAAUUCCUGAGGUGGUUCCAGACUACAUGCUAGAAAAUUCCCUACUACCUGCUCUUGAACAGGAUGAGCAACUCCUUGCACUUCCCUGGUUUGUGAUGAAGAAAUAAACAAUGCCCAGUUCCUGCCCUGGAGAAGCUCAUUGCAUAGAAAAAGGAAAAAGGCAGAUAUACAUGCCACAGUACAGUGCUGAGACAACAUAAAUCACAAGCAACCAAGUACAAAGUGAAUUAUACAGAAUCUGGUUUUCUUCUGUUUGGAUUUGAUACUGAGCUAUACUGGAUUCACUGACAAGAAGAGUUUGAAUUAGCAGCAUGCUGAGAAUGGACACAGUGUUUGAAGAGACUGAUAAAGAAAGUACAGGAGGAGUUUUAUUUUUGGAAGAAGAAAUGGUCCUUGGGCACAGACCCCAUAUGAGUUUUCCUUUCAGCGUUCUCUGCUCAGCUGUUCUCUGCUGUGGUAAUUUUGGAUCAAAUCACCCUAACGUUUUUCAACAAAGACUUUAGAAGAAAUAAAGCUGCAUUACUUUUUCUUGGCGCAUUCUUCCUUUAGGACCUAUAGUGAGGCAAUGUGUCCAUGCCCGUCUCUUGUGGGUCAGUCACCACUGACACCUUAUUUUGACCACUCGAUGCCAUCAUCUUUCUCUCAUCGAUCCUAAUCCUUGGGACUACGCAUCAAUGUCUGCACAGUGAUGUUUUAAAUAGAGACAGAACUUGCCCUGUGGCCCACGUUGGAGUCCGCUGGCAUGAUCGUGAUCCACUGCAGCCUCAACUUCUUUGGGUUCAAAUGAACUUCCCACCUUAGCCACCUGAGCAUCUCGCCUAUCUGGACUCCACCUAUCCUCCCCUGUCAGCAUCUCACAGCAUAGGCAUGGGCCACCAGAACCAGCUUAUUUUUGUAUUUUUUUAAGCAGAAGAGAUCUUACCAUGUUGUGAAGACUGGUCUCGUACUUCUGGCUGAAGUGAUUUGUUCUCCUAAGCCUUCCAAAUUGGUGGGAUUACAUAUGUGAACCACCACACAAAGACUCCUACUGGUAUAUUUAGAAGGAUAUAAGUAUGCCGGUUUUUGGAUGCAUGCAUGGAGAAGACCCCAAAGCUUUUCACUUUUCCCUGAGUUUGGGCUAAACACUAGAGUUCCUCAAAGAGUCCAUAUCCAAAGUCUGGGCAGUUUUUCUUUUCUUUCUUUUCCUUUUUUUUUUUCUUGGAUUGUUUUUAAAAAAUAUGUCGAGAAUAGUAGACCAUCAAAAAGGUGACAGAACACAGAUUAAGUGGAUAUACAACACAAAGAAUGCAGACCACAAAAAUAGCUCUGGAGGGUUGCUACACAAGUAAACAACCCACAAACUAAGGAAUUGUGGAUGUUAAGAAUUUGUUAUCCAAAUAUGCUGAAUACUAUCCAAUAUUUCAAUUCACUUCAUUUUACUAUUCUCAAAGACCUAAGGGAACCCAGGAGUACAGUGAUUCAAAACUGAAAAUACCAGUAAAGACAUACAGAUUAUUUUAAAAAUGAAAUCAAUAACCUUGAAGUUACUAGGAAGCUGUGUGAUUGAAAGUCAGUCACUCAAUCACAUGAUCCUGGGAUUUUCCUCUACAUGUGGGACUACCCAUACCUUGCAGCAUUGCUGUGAGUUCACCUGAGCAAGACACCUGCACAUGGUGGUGCUCAGGAAAUGUUAAUUUCCCUUUAUUGAAAUGGAACAACCCAUGGGUAUUAUGUCUUGAGGUCUGGAUUACAGUUGAGCAAGAUACAGAAGACGUUGUAAACCCUGAGGAGGCAUCACUGAUCACUGGGAGUCUGGAAAGGCAGCAGAGAAAAAGUGACCUGCAGCUGGAAAUGGCCAAUGGGUCUGUUACAGGAAGUUACACAGGCAUGAGUGGGGCAGAAGAGAGUUCUCCCAUCCACCUACCAGGAAUGUCAGGCCAUCGGGUAAUGGUUGGACAGUUAUCACAUUGCUUUUCUAAAAAUAAUAAUUUAGCAGCAGAGCCAGGGAUAGACAAGUUCCUACUGAUACACAGCUGGUAACAUUAAAGUGUUAACUAAAGUCACACUCCCGGGAGGGGGAAAAAGGGCUUCUAGUAAAAUUUUACAUACUGGGUGAGUGAACUGAGACAUGCACAUUAAGAGACGAAAUGGUACAGCAUGACUUUCUGGGGUCACUCCACCAAAAAAAGGGAGGAAGCUUCAGAUGGGCAUGCAUAUAAAUGCUCAAACACACUGCCUAUGCUCACUUCUCAAGGGUAAGGAGGGCACUGUGCCUGCUGGCAGCCCACACUUAGGAAAGAAUCAUGGAAAAAGGUGCACCAGAUGCUCAAGGUGGGCCAGCCUAUAAAGUCCCAGAAUGAAGAGAAAUGGCCACACUUGUUCUUCAAGUCACCCACUUGGAUCUCUUCCAAGUGCACUUUUCAUUCUUUCCUGCUCUAAAGCUUUUUAAUAAAUGUCCACUCCUGCUGUGAAACUUGCCUCAGGAUUUUUUUUCCUUCUUUAUGCCCAUCAGUUGAACUCUUUCACCUGAGGAGGCAAGAACUGACAUUGCUAAAGACGCAGAUGGAUUUGCUGCCAGUAACUCCGAUACUUUCCACCAGUAACAGAUCUAGGAGCUGGUGGACAUAGUUGCUGAAGCAUGUGUCCAGAAUGUUUCUGCCCAGGCCACAAGCAGUCCUGCACUGUAAAGGGACUUGAACCCCAAGCUCAGGGGACACCAUGGAAAGAGACUUCAGCCCGCUGAUGGAAUACUGGAGAUAGGAAUUUUUUAUUGAGGUAUAAUUCCCAUAAUAUGUUAACUGUUUUUUAAGGUAUAAUUCAGUGACACAGGAAUGUGCAUGUUCUACCACUUCUUAAUUCCAAAUUAUUUUCAUCAUCUCAAAAGGAAAUCCCCUACCUAUUAAGGAGCUACUACCCAAUCUGUCCUCUUUCUGACUCCUGACAAUUAACAAUCUGUUUUCUUUCUCUGUGAAAUUAUUUAUUUUGGAUAUGUUUAUAAAUAAAAUCAUACAAUACGUGA